GAAUUUUCCACAAUGGGCGCCAGCCUGAUGGAGCAACGCCGCGUGGGGGAUGACGCGUUUCGGCGUGUAAACCCCUUUUCCGAGGGACGAAACACAUGACGGUACCUCGGGAAUAAGGUCCGGCUAACUACUUGCCAGCAGCCGCGGUAACACGUAGGGACCGAGCGUUGUCCGGAGUUACUGGGCGUAAAGGGCGCGCAGGCGGUUGGUCGCGUCGGGCGUGAAAGCCCCCCGCUUAACGGGGGAGGGUCGUCCGAAACGGGCCAACUGGAGGCAGGGAGAGGUCGGUGGAAUUCCCGGUGUAGUGGUGAAAUGCGUAGAUAUCGGGAGGAACACCAGUGGCGAAGGCGGCCGACUGGACCUGACCUGACGCUGAGGCGCGAAGGCGUGGGGAGCGAACGG
rnacentral:rRNA from 1 species